CCUGACCCUAAUGCUAAAGACCCCACCUACACAGCUCUCCAGCGCAGAACCAGGUCCUCUGAUGAUGAGUACCAGACUCUCGCAGCUGCUCAGGCCAGGUCUACUGACGACACCUAUGAAGCUCUGGACCCUCAGUCCAGGUCUCCAGAGUACGAGACUCUAGCAACGCUGAGAAUCCAACACUGAGAAGAAGAUCAGCCUGGAGAAUGAUCUCACCUGCUGAAGAGAGGCAGAUUUAUUCUAUUAUACAUUACUGUUUAUUCUAACUCUCUUUUCUUCUGCUCUUCUUUCUCUUCUUUUGUUUUUGGAUCGUAAGGAAAUAGAGGCACUCUCUCUCUUUCAAUUAAACAUAUCUACUAGUGGAUUAAGACUAUUUCUGUAAAAAUAACAGCUUUGUUUAGGGCGUGUCAACGUGUCUUUGCUACCGUAACGA